GAUGAACGCUGACAGAAUGCUUAACACAUGCAAGUCUACUUGAUUCUACUUCGGUAGUUGAUGGUGGCGGACGGGUGAGUAACGCGUAAAGAAUCUGCCCUUUAGUUUGGGAUAACCUUUGGAAACGAAGGCUAAUACCGGAUAUUAUGGAGACGUCGCAUGACGACUCCAUGAAAGCUAUAUGCGCUAGAGGAGGACUUUGCGUCCCAUUAGUUAGUUGGUGAGGUAAUGGCUCACCAAGACCGCGAUGGGUAGCCGGCCUGAGAGGGUGAUCGGCCACAAGGGAACUGGGAAACGGUCCGUACUCCUACGGGAGGCAGCAGUGGGGAAUAUUGGACCAUGGGCCACAAGCCUGAUCCAGCAAUUCUGUGUGCGCGAGGAAGGUCUUCGGAUUGUAAAGUGCUUUCAGUAGGGAAGAAAAAAAUGACGGUACCUACAGAAGAAGCGACGGCUAAAUAUGUGCCAGCAGCAGCCGCAG
rnacentral:rRNA from 1 species